AUACGGAGGGGGCUAGCGUUGUUCGGAAUUACUGGGCGUAAAGGGCGUGUAGGCGGCUUCGCCAGUCAGGCGUGAAAGCCCCGGGCUUAACCUGGGAACUGCGCUUGAUACUGCGGAGCUAGAGUUCGGGAGAGGAGAGUGGAAUUCCCAGUGUAGAGGUGAAAUUCGUAGAUAUUGGGAAGAACACCAGUGGCGAAGGCGGCUCUCUGGACCGACACUGACGCUGAGGCGCGAAAGCGUGGGGAGCAAACAGGAUUAGAUACCCUGGUAGUCCACGCCGUAAACGAUGUGCGCUAGACGUUGGGGGUUAGGCCCUCGGUGUCGCAGCUAACGCAUUAAGCGCACCGCCUGGGGAGUACGGCCGCAAGGUUAAA
rnacentral:rRNA from 1 species